GUUGAAUGCGGGUGCUAUACAUGCAAGUCGAGCGGACGGAUGGGAGCUUGCUCCCUGAAGUCAGCGGCGGACGGGUGAGUAACACGUGGGCAACCUGCCUGUAAGACUGGGAUAACUUCGGGAAACCGGAGCUAAUACCGGAUAAUGCAUUUCCCCUCAUGGGGAUAUGCUGAAAGAUGGUUUCGGCUAUCACUUACAGAUGGGCCCGCGGCGCAUUAGCUAGUUGGUGAGGUAACGGCUCACCAAGGCAACGAUGCGUAGCCGACCUGAGAGGGUGAUCGGCCACACUGGGACUGAGACACGGCCCAGACUCCUACGGGAGGCAGCAGUAGGGAAUCUUCCGCAAUGGACGAAAGUCUGACGGAGCAACGCCGCGUGAGUGAUGAAGGUUUUCGGAUCGUAAAACUCUGUUGUCAGGGAAGAACAAGUGCCGGAGUAACUGCCGGCACCUUGACGGUACCUGACCAGAAAGCCACGGCUAACUACGUGCCAGCAGCCGCGGUAAUACGUAGGUGGCAAGCGUUGUCCGGAAUUAUUGGGCGUAAAGCGCGCGCAGGCGGUCUCUUAAGUCUGAUGUGAAAGCCCACGGCUCAACCGUGGAGGGUCAUUGGAAACUGGGGGACUUGAGUGCAGAAGAGGAAAGUGGAAUUCCACGUGUAGCGGUGAAAUGCGUAGAGAUGUGGAGGAACACCAGUGGCGAAGGCGACUUUCUGGUCU
rnacentral:rRNA from 1 species